rnacentral:misc_RNA from 1 species
CCGCUCGCCUUAAAAACAUUCAUACUCGAUCAUGUCCGCUGGCCGGUUCGACUUGGCGUCAUAAAUUAUUUCGCUGAGGACACUCGCAAGGGUGGCCGUCUGGCAGCUUGGUCUUGCCCUGAGGUGUGCCACAUGCAGACCCGGGCUACACUCUUUUGAUAUCUGGCCUCAAAUCAGGUAGGACUACCCGCCGAACUUAA